GAUGAACGCUGGCGGCGUGCCUAAUACAUGCAAGUCGAGCGAACGGACGAGAAGCUUGCUUCUCUGAUGUUAGCGGAGGACGGGUGAGUAACACGUGGAUAACCUCCUUAUAAGACUGGGAUAACUACGAGAAACCGGAGCUAAUACCGGAUAAUAUUUUGCACCGCAUGGUUCAAAAGUGAAAGACGGCCUUGCUGUCACUUAUCGAUGGAUCCGCGCUGCAUUAGCUAGUUGGUAAGGUAACGGCUUACCAAGGCAACGAUGCAUAGCCGACCUGAGAGGUUGAUCGCCCACACUGGAACUGAGACACGGUCCAGACGCCUAAGGUAAGCCGCAGUAGGGAAUCGGCCGCAAUGGGCGGAAGCCUGACGGAGCAACGCCGCGUGAGUGAUGAAGGUCUUCGGAGCGUAAGACUCUGUUAUUAGGGAAGAACAUAUGUGUAAGUAACUGUGCACAUCUUGACGGUACCUAAUCAGAAAGCCACGGCUAACUACGUG
rnacentral:rRNA from 1 species